rnacentral:rRNA from 1 species
CCUAGAUCUUCUCAUGAGGUUUUUGUCAAUGUUGAGAUGACAAGGGAUGCAACGCUGCCUUAUGAAUAUGAUGGUUUAUGAUUUGUCGCCGAUGUUGUCACAAGGUCCAUUGCAUGGCCAUCUACCAAGAUGAAACCCUACAAGCCAGGGGCAUCUUCCUCAUCCCGCCACUAAGGUAUUUAUGUUGUGAUUCACUAUUUAUGUGAUCCUGCUGUUAUCAUGACCACUUGGUAUUGUACAAGAGCUUCUUCUUGGUGCUCCCUAGCUAGCUAAGAGCCUAAGAGUGCAUCAUGUAAUCUGGUCAUCAUGGAAUUUAUCAAGGAAUCCUAGCUCAAAGUGAAUGAAGAUUCCAUGAUGACCAGAUUCCAUAAGUUUAUCAUGGAAUCCUUGCUGCUACUUAUUUAGUAAUAGUUGCUUCCCUGUGUUCAUUUAGGCCCAGUUUGGAUGCAAAGUAUUUUUUUAAUAGCGUAGUUUCUGAAGAAAAAAAACUGCAGUUUUGAAAAUACUUUGAGGUGUUUGGUCCAAGUAUAUACCAUGGUUCUACAAACUGUAAUAUCCCCAAUGCAUCUAUUGCUGCCACCAGGAACAUAGCAUUAUGUUUUUUGUGUCCAUGUAUCUAUUGCUGCCACCAGGAAGAUAGCAACAUCCCUUUCAGUACCAUUCAAUUUAUGGCCACUACUGAAGAGUGAACAAAGAUAACUGAAAUACUGUACUUCUCACAUGGAUAGAAAACACCAGUAAGGUGUAUCUCUAAUACUUAGCUAUAUGGUACCAGUUCCCUAGAAAAACAAGUUACAUGGACACAUAGCUCUUUCUUGUGUUCAAGAAAUAAAAAAUACAGUUUCAAUUACGCCUCUUAAACCACACUCCAUGUUAAUCUUGUCUGACGUAUUCUCUUACAGAAAGUCAAACAUCAACGGAUGACAGAUGCAUGUGAAACCUGUAGUGAACUAGACUUCCCUUUGCUUUUUAUGUCUCGUAUUCUUUCUCUCUUGCAGAUCUCUGAUGGUGGUGGAAAGACAACAUUUGUUUAUUUCAUUGUCGAUAAGAAAACAUGAGAAUAUAUCUUUUCUUCAUCAUCAUUGUCGCAAGGACGCUAGUACUUAGCUUCUUGUAGUUAUAACAAAAUGAGUGUAGAAGUCGACCUAGCUACAGCUACAACAUUUAUUUAUGUUCCCUGGUAUGCACCUCAACAUGAAUUAUUUUCAGUUUCACACCAUAACACAAAUCGCCAGUGCACAACAUUUUUUUCACCAUGUGAUAUAAAUCAUGUGAAGAUAGUCAUGAAAUGGUUCAAGCAUCCAAUUAUUUCUCAAAACUUGGGGUCGCGUCUCCUGGUCGACUUUGGUUUUUCUUAGUUUGACACUUCUGUAAGGAUCCCAAGUUUACAGGCGUGCAAAUCAAAUUUAUUCACCUCAAAGUUAGCUGGUUGUAUAUUAAUUCUGUUUCUAGGUUUCAUGCCUGAUGCUCUUUACUCUCAAGUUGAACAGGUAGUACAUUAGUACUCACUAAAAAGGAAAUUUAAUCAGCUUGCAUGUAUAUUAAUUGUAUGCUUUUUUGUCUUUCCAGGAUGCUGUCAGGUUGUGUAUGGAAGACAAGAGGAAUAAGAAAGAACCAUGAAGCUGUCAGUUUGCGUCAACUAGAUAUCUUCUGUAAUGGAGGAAAACGAAUGCAUCUUGUAGCUACCAUUUUGUAAAGGAUAUCUUGUGUAAGACCAAGCAUUGAAUCGUCAGACAUGCAUCUAUCAUUUUAUAAACCUAUCGGGUGUUUUGGUCACCUAGACAAAUGUUUCCUCUUAUUUACUUACCUCUAUGAUGAGAAUUAUUAGUGUUAUUUUUGUUUGGUUCUGGUUUAAUAUUUGA